GAGGUGUGAACUUGUUCGUCUUGGUUUCUGGAUCCGUAUCGUAGAUAAUUCAUUCGAUUUUUCCUAAGUCAAGGCUCUGGAGGUAUCUUUUUUGCAGGUAUGGUGGUGGAUCCUUGAGGAAGAUCGUAGAUCCGGUGUUGAAUCAUAGCGAUUCAACCUAUGAUGAUGAUGAUCGAUGUAUCAGCUUCCGAUUUGUUCUCUGUGGCGAAUUUUGGCGAAUCAACGUUGAUGAAUCUCGUUUUCGUUUAACAGAUUCAGAUGUUACACAUCUCGGUUAUUGUAAAUAUGUAUAUAUGAUGAUGAAGAUUGGAAGUUUUCGGGUUG
rnacentral:lncRNA from 1 species